rnacentral:rRNA from 1 species
AGAACGAACGCUGGCGGCAUGCCUAACACAUGCAAGUCGAACGCUCACCGGGCUUCGGUUCGGUGGGAGUGGCGCACGGGUGAGUAGCGCGUGGGAACCUGCCCUGUUGUGGGGGAUAACCGAGGGAAACUUCGGCUAAUACCGCAUGCGCCCGGGGAAACCCGGGGAAAGAUUUAUCGCAGCAGGAGGGGCCCGCGUCGGAUUAGGUAGUUGGUAGGGUAACGGCCUACCAAGCCUUUGAUCCGUAGCUGGUCUGAGAGGAUGAUCAGCCACACUGGGACUGAGACACGGCCCAGACUCCUACGGGAGGCAGCAGUGGGGAAUAUUGGACAAUGGGCGCAAGCCUGAUCCAGCAAUGCCGCGUGAGUGAUGAAGGCCUUAGGGUUGUAAAGCUCUUUCGACGGGGACGAUAAUGACGGUACCGUAGAAGAAGCUCCGGCUAACUUCGCGCCAGCACGCCGC